rnacentral:rRNA from 1 species
UUUAACUGAGCGUUCAGUUACUUGACGUAGACCCGAAACCGGGCGACCUACCCAUGAGCAGGAUGAAGCGAAAGUAAAAUUUCGUGGAGGUCCGAACCCACGAGCGUUGAAAAGCUCGGGGAUGACUUGUGGGUAGCGGUGAAAUUCCAAUCGAGCCCGGAGAUAGCUGGUUCUCCCCGAAAUAGCUUUAGGGCUAGCCUCAAGGUGAGAGAUACGGAGGUAGAGCACUGAAUGUCCUAGGGGGUAUUGCACCUACCGAAGACUAUCAAACUCCGAAUGCCGUCAUCUUAUACUUGGGAGUCAGACUGUGGGUGAUAAGAUUCAUAGUCGAAAGGGCAACAGCCCAGAUCGUCAGCUAAGGUCCCUAAAUGUAAGUUAAGUGGUAAAGGAUGUGGGAUUGCACAGACAACCAGGAUGUUGGCUUAGAAGCAGCCACUCAUUCAAAGAGUGCGUAAUAGCUCACUGGUCGAGUGAUCCUGCGCCGAAGAUUUCCGGGGCUAAAACUUACUACCGAAGCUACGGCAUCAGUAAUGAUGGGUAGGGGAGCUUCCCAUACGGGUUGAAGCAUGACCGUAAGGACAUGUGGACAGUAUGGGAGUGAGAAUGUUGGCAUGAGUAGCGAGAUGUGGGUGAGAAUCCCACAGGCCGUAAACCCAAGGUUUCCAGGGGAAGGUUCGUCCGCCCUGGGUUAGUCGGGACCUAAGCUGAGGCCGAAAGGCGUAGGUGAUGGACAACAGGUUGAUAUUCCUGUACUACCGAUAACCGUUUGAGAGAAGGGAUGACACAGUAGGAUAAGCUAAGCACACUGUUGGUUAUGUGUGCCCAAGCAUUGAGGCAGUCAAAGUAGGUAAAUCCGCUUUGAUAAUGCUGGGAUGUGAUGGGGAGCGAAAUUUAGUAGCGAAGUAGCUGAUUUCACACUGUCAAGAAAAGUCUCUAUCGAGGUUAAAGGUACCCGUACCGCAAACCGACACAGGUGGGUGAGGAGAGUAUCCUAAGGCCAGCGAGAGAACUGUUGUUAAGGAACUCGGCAAAAUGACCCCGUAACUUAGGGAUAAGGGGUGCCACCAUCAGGUGGCCGCAGAGAAUAGGCCCAAGCGACUGUUUACCAAAAACAUAGGUUUCUGCUAAGUCGCAAGACGAUGUAUAGGAGCUGACGCCUGCCCGGUGCUGGAAGGUUAAGGGGAUCUGUUAGAGCAAUCGAAGCAGUGAACUUAAGCCCCAGUAAACGGCGGCCGUAACUAUAACGGUCCUAAGGUAGCGAAAUUCCUUGUCGGGUAAGUUCCGACCCGCACGAAAGGCGUAACGAUUUGGGCACUGUCUCAACAACAGACUCGGUGAAAUUGUAAUUCCGGUGAAGAUGCCGGAUACCUGCGACAGGACGGAAAGACCCCAUGGAGCUUUACUGUAGCUUGACAUUGGGUCUUGGUACUACAUGUACAGGAUAGGUGGGAGGCUUUGAAACCAGGACGCCAGUUUUGGCGGAGCCAUCCUUGGGAUACCACCCUUGUAGUACUGGGACUCUAACCAUAGGCCAUGAAUCUGGUCUUGGGACACUGUCAGGUGGGCAGUUUGACUGGGGCGGUCGCCUCCCAAAAGGUAACGGAGGCGCUCAAAGGUUCUCUCAGUACGGUCGGAAAUCGUACGUAGAGUGUAAAGGCAAAAGAGAGCUUGAUUGCAAGACAUACAGGUCGAGCAAGGAUGAAAAUCGGACUUAGUGAUCCGGUGGUUCUGCGUGGAAGGGCCAUCGCUCAACGGAUAAAAGCUACCCUGGGGAUAACAGGCUUAUCUCCCCCAAGAGUCCACAUCGACGGGGAGGUUUGGCACCUCGAUGUCGGCUCAUCACAUCCUGGGGCUGUAGUAGGUCCCAAGGGUUGGGCUGUUCGCCCAUUAAAGUGGUACGCGAGCUGGGUUCAGAACGUCGUGAGACAGUUCGGUCCCUAUCCGUCGCAGGCGUAGGAAAUUUGAGAAGACCUGUCCUUAGUACGAGAGGACCGGGAUGGACG